rnacentral:lncRNA from 1 species
CACCGAUCAGCUUGCAUGAAGUGACUUAUUGCAUGAUCGCAUUGCUGCUUGUCAACUGAAAAUUUGAGUUACCAGUGUAUUGGUGGCAGUACAGUAAUGGGCGCAAUGUCUGCAUUGAAGGAGGAAGCGUUGGAGGAAUAAUCAGAGCAUUCUGGAAUCUUUGCAGGCRGAUUCUGCGUUUGAGCCUAAAACUCCAGUCAGACUUACAGAAGCUCAAGAACAUUGGUUAUCUCUUAUGUUACAUGUGGACAGGACACUUUUCAGGGCAGAUACUGACACUUCGUGGUCUGUUGGUCUUAUGCCAAGUCUCACUGCAAAGAAAAUCCUAUUUGACUUCUGAAAUGGAUGAAAUGAGCAUUCAAAAGCACAGUUUUGUUUCUAGUCACUCCAUUAUUCUUAAUAAGAUAAUGUGUUAUAAAUAUGCUAAAUUAUGUUACUUUGAAUCAAAU